AGUGGCGAACGGGUGAGUAACACGUGGGUAACCUGCCCAUCAGAAGGGGAUAACACUUGGAAACAGGUGCUAAUACCGUAUAACAAUCGAAACCGCAUGGUUUUGAUUUGAAAGGCGCUUUCGGGUGUCGCUGAUGGAUGGACCCGCGGUGCAUUAGCUAGUUGGUGAGGUAACGGCUCACCAAGGCCACGAUGCAUAGCCGACCUGAGAGGGUGAUCGGCCACAUUGGGACUGAGACACGGCCCAAACUCCUACGGGAGGCAGCAGUAGGGAAUCUUCGGCAAUGGACGAAAGUCUGACCGAGCAACGCCGCGUGAGUGAAGAAGGUUUUCGGAUCGUAAAACUCUGUUGUUAGAGAAGAACAAGGAUGAGAGUAACUGUUCAUCCCUUGACGGUAUCUAACCAGAAAGCCACGGCUAACUACGUGCCAGCAGCCGCGGUAAUACGUAGGUGGCAAGCGUUGUCCGGAUUUAUUGGGCGUAAAGCGAGCGCAGGCGGUUUCUUAAGUCUGAUGUGAAAGCCCCCGGCUCAACCGGGGAGGGUCAUUGGAAACUGGGAGACUUGAGUGCAGAAGAGGAGAGUGGAAUUCCAUGUGUAGCGGUGAAAUGCGUAGAUAUAUGGAGGAACACCAGUGGCGAAGGCGGCUCUCUGGUCUGUAACUGACGCUGAGGCUCGAAAGCGUGGGGAGCAAACAGGAUUAGAUACCCUGGUAGUCCACGCCGUAAACGAUGAGUGCUAAGUGUUGGAGGGUUUCCGCCCUUCAGUGCUGCAGCUAACGCAUUAAGCACUCCGCCUGGGGAGUACGACCGCAAGGUUGAAACUCAAAGGAAUUGACGGGGGCCCGCACAAGCGGUGGAGCAUGUGGUUUAAUUCGAAGCAACGCGAAGAACCUUACCAGGUCUUGACAUCCUUUGACCACUCUAGAGAUAGAGCUUCCCCUUCGGGGGCAAAGUGACAGGUGGUGCAUGGUUGUCGUCAGCUCGUGUCGUGAGAUGUUGGGUUAAGUCCCGCAACGAGCGCAACCCUUAUUGUUAGUUGCCAUCAUUCAGUUGGGCACUCUAGCAAGACUGCCGGUGACAAACCGGAGGAAGGUGGGGAUGACGUCAAAUCAUCAUGCCCCUUAUGACCUGGGCUACACACGUGCUACAAUGGGAAGUACAACGAGUUGCGAAGUCGCGAGGCUAAGCUAAUCUCUUAAAGCUUCUCUCAGUUCGGAUUGCAGGCUGCAACUCGCCUGCAUGAAGCCGGAAUCGCUAGUAAUCGCGGAUCAGC
rnacentral:rRNA from 1 species